rnacentral:rRNA from 1 species
UGCCAGCCGCCGCGGUAAUACGGAGGGUGCGAGCGUUAAUCGGAAUCACUGGGCGUAAAGCGUACGUAGGUGGCAAAGUCAGUCAGGCGUGAAAGCCCAGAGCUCAACUCUGGAACUGCGCCUGAAACUAUUUGUCUAGAGUAUCGGAGAGGUAAGCGGAAUUCCUAGUGUAGCGGUGAAAUGCGUAGAUAUUAGGAGGAACACCAAAGGCGAAGGCAGCUUACUGGACGAUAACUGACGCUGAGGCACGAAAGCGUGGGGAGCGAAAAGGAUUAGAUA